rnacentral:misc_RNA from 1 species
GGACAGUAAGAUACGAUCUGGCUCAAUAAGUCGUAACAAGGUAGCCGUAGAGUUUUUUCAUGGCCCCCCUACUCCUAACAACGGGGCCGGUACCCCCACCUUGUUACUUCCUGAGCCACCAUCAUCAUCCACCACCAUUUUUUUUUUUCUUCUUAAUGAACCAUCAUCAAAUACCUCGGCUUUUUUUUUAUUACCUCCUUCCGCACCGAAAUACACCACCGCUUUUUUUUUUUUACUUAGUUACCGGCCAAUAAACCAAAACUAUAUUCUCUUAAUAGUUAGGGCCCACCCAGAAUACCUCCGAGACGCAACCACAAACAUCACUAGUAUCCAGU